rnacentral:rRNA from 1 species
CCUACGGGUGGCAGCAGUGAGGAAUAUUGGUCAAUGGGCGAGAGCCUGAACCAGCCAAGUCGCGUGAGGGAGUACUGCCCUAUGGGUUGUAAACCUCUUUUUUCGGGGAGCAAAAGCCGGACGUGUCCGGCUGUGAGAGUACCCGAAGAAAAAGCAUCGGCUAACUACGUGCCAGCAGCCGCGGUAAUACGGGGGAUGCGAGCUUUAUCCGGAUUUUUUGGGGUUAAAGGGUGCGCAGGCGGAUUUUUAAGUCAGCGGUCAAAUCGUGGGGCUCAACCCCAUCCAGCCGUUGAAACUGGGGAUCUAGAGUGUGCGAGAGGUAUGUGGAAUGCGUGGUGUAGCGGUGAAAUGCAUAGAUAUCACGAGGAACCCCGAUUGCGAAGGCAGCCUGCCGGGGUGCGACUGACGCUGAGGCUCGAAGGUGCGGGUAUCAAACAGGAUUAGAUACCCCAGUAGUC